UAUUAAAAGUCGCGACAAUGACUUCACCCGCCGUCCCCCCUAAAUCCCUCACCCGUGCGAAAACAUAGUGAAAUAUUAAGUUAUUUCACUUUUUAUGUUAUUCUUCUUUCUCUUCUUUUUCGGUUAUCUCUCUCGUUCUUUCUUCACCCACCCACAAAUGUCAUAAUAAACGAUUAGUUUGUACCCUAACUCGCAUCAAUUGAACAAUUAAUUUUAUUUUAGGAUUUUGAGCUCUGUUAUUUAGGGUUUUGAGCUCUGUUGUUUUGAGCUCUGUUGGUUUACGAUUCUGAAAUGUCAUGAUCCUUUGUUGAGAGAUAAAGGGGUGAGUUAUAUGGAAAAAGAAGGGGAUUUUAUUGUUUCUAUGGGAGUGCGCUGAGGAUAAAGGACGCACUUGCUUUGCAUAUGAGUAGAGUGAGCAUCAAAAGAGGAAUGCUUAUUGUGUUACAUGUUGUCAUGUUAUAGGUUCUUUACUCUACCAUAGGGAGAUUUAGUUCCAGUUUUCUAAAAAAUUUAAGGUUACACCAAUAAGACAGACAAAGCUUGUUAAUGUAAAAUUUCAGUAUGAAAAUAACUGAUUGUUCUAGAAAAAAAGUUUGUCAAAGAGUUACAGGAUCAACAUGAUUAUCAAAGUGCAAUUUGUCCCUUGA